GAUGAACGCUGGCGGCGUGCCUAAUACAUGCAAGUCGAGCGAACAGAUGAGGAGCUUUCUCUUCUGACGUUAGCGGCGGACGGGUGAGUAACACGUGGAUAACCUUCCUCUAUUUCUUGGAUAACUUCGUGAAACCGGUGCUACUACCGGCUAAUAUAUUCAACCGCAUGGAUCAAUAGUUAAUGACGGUUUUGCUGUCUCUUUUAGAUGGAUCCGCGCCGCAUUAGCUAGUUGGUAAGGUAACGGCCUACCAAGGCAACGAUGCGUAGCCGACCUGAGAGGAUGAUCAGCCACACUGGAACUGAGACACGGUCCAGACUCCUACGGGAGGCAGCAGUGGGGAAUAUUGGACAAUGGGCGAAAGCCUGACGCAGCAAUGCCGCGUGAGUGAAGAAGGUCUUCGGGUCGUAAAGCUCUGUUAUUAGGGAAGAAAAGAUGUGUGAGAAAAUAUGCACGUCUUGACGGUACCUAAACAGAAAGCAACGGCUAACUACGUG
rnacentral:rRNA from 1 species